GAAAACUGUGUGACUUUAAAAGAAAACCAGUGAGAUAAAAUUGUAGAAAAUGUAUGAUGAUUCAGGAUGUGGUCAUUUGUGACAUUAAAACAGGAAUUGUCAUCACCAAUAGACGAAUUUCACAUUCCUAAGAGUUUCCUCCAAUUGUCGGCGCAUCGCUCAUUUUCCCCACUUUGUCCUUUGUCCUGUUCUGUGGAUGCCCUUAGACAGUGUCUACCCAUCACUCCAUCUGAAAUCACUUGUUCUGUGCAUAUUUCUCUCUCAAACUUAAACUACAGAGAGC